rnacentral:rRNA from 1 species
GGCCUGGCUGGGCGGUCCGCCCUUCGGGUGAGUACUGCCUGUGGUCGGGUCCUACCUUCUGGCGAAGCGUCAUGGCCUUCACCGGCCGUGGCGGGGAACCAGGACUUUUACUGUGAAAAAAUUAGAGUGUUCAAAGCAGGCAAUCGAGCCUUGAAUACUUCAGCAUGGGAUAAUGGAACA